GGGUUUGAUUAUGGCUCAGAUUGAACGCUGGCGGAAUGCUUUACACAUGCAAGUCGAACGGCAGCACGGACUUCGGUCUGGUGGCGAGUGGCGAACGGGUGAGUAAUAUAUCGGAACGUGCCCAGUCGUGGGGGAUAACGUAGUGAAAAUUACGCUAAUACCGCAUACGAUCUAAGGAUGAAAGCGGGGGAUCGCAAGACCUCGCGCGAUUGGAGCGGCCGAUAUCAGAUUAGGUAGUUGGUGAGGUAAAGGCUCACCAAGCCAACGAUCUGUAGCUGGUCUGAGAGGACGACCAGCCACACUGGAACUGAGACACGGUCCAGACUCCUACGGGAGGCAGCAGUGGGGAAUUUUGGACAAUGGACGCAAGUCUGAUCCAGCCAUUCCGCGUGCAGGACGAAGGCCUUCGGGUUGUAAACUGCUUUUGUACAGAACGAAAAGGUCUCUAUUAAUACUAGGGGCUCAUGACGGUACUGUAAGAAUAAGCACCGGCUAACUACGUGCCAGCAGCCGCGGUAAUACGUAGGGUGCAAGCGUUAAUCGGAAUUACUGGGCGUAAAGCGUGCGCAGGCGGUUAUAUAAGACAGAUGUGAAAU
rnacentral:rRNA from 1 species